rnacentral:rRNA from 1 species
AGAGUUUGAUCAUGGCUCAGGAUGGACGCUGGCGGCGUGCUUAACACAUGCAAGUCGAACGAUGAUCCCAGCUUGCUGGGGGAUUAGUGGCGAACGGGUGAGUAACACGUGAGUAACCUGCCCUUAACUCUGGGAUAAGCCUGGGAAACUGGGUCUAAUACCGGACAUGACUCCUCAUCGCAUGGUGGGGGGUGGAAAGCUUUAUUGUGGUUUUGGAUGGACUCGCGGCCUAUCAGCUUGUUGGUGAGGUAAUGGCUCACCAAGGCGACGACGGGUAGCCGGCCUGAGAGGGUGACCGGCCACACUGGGACUGAGACACGGCCCAGACUCCUACGGGAGGCAGCAGUGGGGAAUAUUGCACAAUGGGCGAAAGCCUGAUGCAGCGACGCCGCGUGAGGGAUGACGGCCUUCGGGUUGUAAACCUCUUUCAGUAGGGAAGAAGCGAAAGUGACGGUACCUGCAGAAGAAGCGCCGGCUAACUACGUGCCAGCAGCCGCGGUAAUACGUAGGGCGCAAGCGUUAUCCGGAAUUAUUGGGCGUAAAGAGCUCGUAGGCGGUUUGUCGCGUCUGCCGUGAAAGUCCGGGGCUCAACUCCGGAUCUGCGGUGGGUACGGGCAGACUAGAGUGAUGUAGGGGAGACUGGAAUUCCUGGUGUAGCGGUGAAAUGCGCAGAUAUCGGGAGGAACACCAGUAGCGAAGGCGGCUCGCUGGGCCACACCUGACGCUGAGACGCGAAAGCUAGGGGAGCGAACAGGAUUAGAUACCCCCGUAAUCC